AACGAACGCUGGCGGCAGGCUUAACACAUGCAAGUCGAACGGGUGUAGCAAUACAUCAGUGGCAGACGGGUGAGUAACACGUGGGAACCUUCCUAGGGGUACGGAACAACUCAGGGAAACUUGAGCUAAUACCGUAUACGUCCGUGAGGAGAAAGAUUUAUCGCCCUUAGACGGGCCCGCGUCGGAUUAGGUAGUUGGUGGGGUAACGGCCUACCAAGCCUACGAUCCGUAGCUGAUCUUAGAGGAUGAUCAGCCACACUGGGACUGAGACACGGCCCAGACUCCUACGGGAGGCAGCAGUGGGGAAUCUUGGACAAUGGGCGCAAGCCUGAUCCAGCCAUGCCGCGUGAGUGAAGAAGGCCUUAGGGUUGUAAAGCUCUUUUACCAGGGACGAUAAUGACGGUACCUGGAGAAUAAGCCCCGGCAAACUUCGUGCCAGCCGCCGCCGUAAAAC
rnacentral:rRNA from 1 species